rnacentral:rRNA from 1 species
GGGGGCCAAAAGGAUGCCUCAGUAGCGGCGAGUGAAGCGGCAAGAGCUCAGAUUUGAAAUCGUGCUCGGCACGAGUUGUAGAUUGCAGGUUGGAGUCUGUGUGGAAGGCGGUGUCCAAGUCCCUUGGAACAGGGCGCCCAGGAGGGUGAGAGCCCCGUGGGAUGCCGGCGGAAGCAGUGAGGCCCUUCUGACGAGUCGAGUUGUUUGGGAAU